AGCUAGGAACACUGCAGGAGGUAAGAUUUUAGCUCUGAGCUCUGACCUCUCGGCUUUCUCUUUUACAUUGGUUUUGUGUUUCUUAUUUUAAUAAGACGGUUGGUUACAUCUACAAUAGUCCAUACAGUGUAUAAUUAAUUUAAACCUCUGAGUGAUUAUUUAUAAGUGGCUGCGGGACUGCAGGGCCAGGUGGGACUAAGAAACUUCUGCCUACACAUAUGUAUCUAUCUGAUUCUUUUUGCUUAGCAGGGAAGCCACUCAUAUCUUCCAGUUCUUUCUGUCCUUUGUAAUAUUCCCUGGAGGAACCAGAAAUAUUCAAGUCAAGGCUCUGCAUCUGAGAACCUCAUGAUAUGACACACAGAGUCUGGAAAACAUGUUAUGAAAAUCAUCUUCUCAUGCCUCAUGUGUCAUGAUGUCAUUGAUGUCCAUACCAUAACUGUGCUAAGGACGAACAUCCCUUAAGAAAAUUCAUUAACCAGACCUGUGCCAAAAACCAUGUGUGAACACCAUUGAAAAUCAUGUAAGUUGAUUUCAUUAGUAGAUCCUAAAUAAGACAUGAAGUGAAAAGUUCAUGAACGGCCCAUGAGCUCAUAUACACACAAUGAACAUCAUUUCUACUAUUAUCCUAUAUUUUCACUGUGGAUCUUCACAUUGCUGCGUAUUAGUUUUACAUGAUAUAUGAAGAAUCAUCAGUAACUGCAUGGGUUUCCUAUUAAUUUAAAGCUAAUAAUCAGGGCAAAAGCAAACAUUCUCUUAAUCAUCCUGAAUCCAAGGAAACUUCCUCUCUUUAGUAUUUACAUAUCAAGGCAGACAAGAUUCAUACCUGAGUUUUAAGUCAUUUUCCUACUUCUUGUUCCUUAGUGUCCAUAGAUGAAAAUCUUGUUAUGCUGUAUUAUUUCACAUAUCAAAUGCUUCAUUUUCCCAUUUUUUAAUGUUUGUAUGAGUAGAGUCAUGGUUGAUAAGCUGUAUAUUAUGUACCAAAAUAUCCAUUGGAAUUUUUUCCAAAGUCAUUCUUUAUUAUUGUUUGAUUCCAGAAUGUAUGUUGGAAAUUUAUGGAUAUACAAGUCAUUCUUGGGGGAUAAAGCCUCUAUAAAUAUAUGGGGUGAGAAGAAAAUAAUAAUAUGUUGAGAGAUUAAUUUGGUGUGACCACUGAUACAUUUGGGGACUUGAUAUAAGGAUGACGAAGCCAACUUCAGACCGUUUAUCAACCCUUCACUUCAUCCUCUGUGUACAUAGUUUCAGAAAUACAUUCAGUCAUUUUUUAAGAUGCCUGAUAAAAUUUAAUCCAACCACAUGGACAAAUGGUAUUAUCCACUGUGAUGGCUAGUUUUAUGUCAAAUUGGUGCAAGUCAGUGAACAUAAAUUGAGACCACCACCACCUCCACUAUGACCACCACCACCACCACCACCAUCACCAAAUUGGCCUGUUAACAAGCCUGUAGUACAUUUUCUCAACUGAUAAUUGUUAUGGCAGGGCACUACUCAAUGGGAAUCUUGCCACAUCUGAGUGUUUGGACCAGGGUGCCAUAAGAAAGCAGGAUAAAGAAAGCACGAGGACCAACCCAGUAAGAAGUAGUUCUCCAUGGACUCUGCCUCAGUUCCUGUGUCAAGGUUCCAGCCUGAGCCAGUCCUGACUUCUCUGGAUGGUGGAAUAUAAGAAAUAAAAUGAAAUAAACCCAUUCUUUUGAUGUG